GACGAACGCUGGCGGCGUGCUUAACACAUGCAAGUCGAACGGAAAGGCCCUGCUUUUGUGGUGGGCUCGAGUGUCGAACGGGUGAGUAACACGUGAGUAACCUGCCCUUGACUUUGGGAUAACUUCAGGAAACUGGGGCUAAUACCGGAUAGGAGCUCCUGCUGCAUGGUGUGGGUGGGAAAGUUUAGGCGGUUGGAGUGGUACUCGCGGCUUAUCAGCUUGUGGGUGGGGUAGUGGCUUACCAAGGCUUUGACGGGUAGCCGGCCGGAGAGGGUGACCGGCCACAUUGGGACUGAGAUACGGCCAAGACUCAUACGGGAGGCAGAAGUGGGGAAUAGUGCAUAAUGGGCGGAAGCCUGAUGCAGCAACGCCGAGUGCGGGAUAACGGCCUUCGGGUUGUAAACCGCUUUCGCCUGUGACGAAGCGUGAGUGACGGUAAUGGGUAAAGAAGCACCGGCUAACUACGUG
rnacentral:rRNA from 1 species